UACGAAGGGGGCUAGCGUUGCUCGGAAUUACUGGGCGUAAAGCGCACGUAGGCGGCUCUUUAAGUCGGAGGUGAAAUCCUGGAGCUCAACUCCAGAACUGCCUUCGAUACUGGCGAUCUCGAGUCCCGGGAGAGGUGAGUGGAACUGCGAGUGUAGAGGUGAAAUUCGUAGAUAUUCGCAAGAACACCAGUGGCGAAGGCGGCUCACUGGCCCGGCACUGACGCUGAGGCGCGAAAGCCAGGGGAGCGAACGGG
rnacentral:rRNA from 1 species